CACUGGCCGGGCCUGCCCGAGGCUCCUCGAGCCCGGAUCCUACCCCGCAGCGCCAGUCGGCUGCUCACAACCGCGCGCGGGGCGGUGCCGGGCGGCGCCCGUGCUUUCCCGCUUCUGGACCCGACGGGACUGGGGCUGGGGUCCCCCCAGGCCGUGCCCUGCACCUGGAGGAAGCCGCGGCGGCAGAGCGGCGGGCCCCGCGGGGCUGGGGGCGUGGCCGACGGAGGGAGGGCGGGGCCUCCGCGUGGGGGCGUGCCCGGGGGCGGGGUCUCAGGGGCGGACGACGGCCGCUUCCAUUCGGCCCGGGCGGGGGGCGGGGCCCGGACUGUAUCAUUCCCGGCGGGGGAGGCCGACGAGGAGCAGCCUACAGGCGGGGGCCCAGACACCACGAGUUGCCCAGGACGCUGGUCUUCCCGGGAGGCGGGCGGCCUCAGGAGGUGCCUUCGAGGUCUCGAGGCCCCUGGCCGCGGCGAGGGCGCCCUCCGCCACUUCAGGCUCAUCUCCAUCCCCCCGUCCCAGUGGUUCCCGCCUACGGGCGGGGCGGGGAGGGAGGGCCCCGGAAGCCGGGUCCGUGCACUUCCGGGUCGGGGAGCGCGCGGCGGCGGCGGUGGCAGCGGCGGCCUAGUCGAGGCGGGCUCUCGGGCGGCGGCGGCCGGCUCCGGGGGUCUGCCGGAGGGGCUCCAGGCUCUCGGGUACGUGCGGGGCCCGCGGCGGUCUCGGGGUCCCGGCCGCGCCCCGGCCGCGAGGGCCGUGCCCGAGUGCCGCGCGCUUUGUCUGCGGCCUGCCCCGCGGGGCGAGGCCUGCGCUGCGCUGGCUCCCGGCGGGCGGCGGGCGGCGGGGAGGGCGGGCCCCGGGCGGCGGGGGGCGGGGCGGGCGGGCCCCGGGCGGGCGGGGGCCCUUCGGGCCGCCGCCUGGGCGCCCCAGCCGCCCGCGCUGUCGCCCUCCCCGGUGUGGGCGGCGUGUGACCGUGUGCCCACUCGUUUCCAGCUCCUGGUAGUCCCUGCUCGCAGCGGCCUCGUCGCGGUCCCGGCGGUCCCGGCGGCCGAGCGUUCGCGGGAUGCAUUGCUGCUAGCUCCCGCCGUCCUCACAGCACGCCCGGGAGGAGGUACUGCCCUUCUGCCCUGCACGGGGUCCGUCGGAGCUCGGACUCCUGCUCCGCGCUGUUUGCAGCGGCGCUCGUGCCUCAGCUUGCGGCUUAGGAGGCUGUAG
rnacentral:lncRNA from 1 species